CAAAAGCACAAGGUGUGCAAUACUCAGAGACAUGGCCAAGGUAAGAAAGGCUGAAAGACGACCACCACUGAACAACACACACAAGCUGAAACGUCAAGACUGGGCCAAGAAAUAUCUCAAGACUGAUUUUUCUAAGGUUUUAUGGACUGAUGAAAUGAGAGUGAGUCUUGAUGGGCCAGAUGGAUGGGCCCGUGGCUGGAUUGGUAAAGGGCG